rnacentral:snoRNA from 1 species
GCUGACUUCCUUUCGCAGGAGAAUCAUUUCUAUAGUAUUCGUCCUUCUCUUGGUUAACUCACAUUAGCCACAGAGCCCACCCUGGUUGAUGAUGGGAAAUCCCCGACGCCCCGGAGUGAAUACUCUUGGUCCUCUCGCUCUGUCCGCAAGGAUGGCGGUGGCUUCGGCUGCUGUAUAGAGAGAUUGUUUUGGGUGCUUCGGCGCUCGCGUUGAUGAUCUCUACCCUGUUUGCGGUCCUGCCUUCGGGCGCGCGUUCGGGGUGGGUGUCGGUGGACGUCUGACAGGC